UACGUAGGUGGCAAGCGUUGUCCGGAUUUACUGGGCGUAAAGGGAGUGUAGGCGGAUACUUAAGUCAGAUGUGAAAUACCCGGGCUCAACUUGGGUGCUGCAUUUGAAACUGGGUGUCUAGAGUGCAGGAGAGGAAAGUGGAAUUCCUAGUGUAGCGGUGAAAUGCGUAGAGAUUAGGAAGAACACCAGUGGCGAAGGCGACUUUCUGGACUGUAACUGACGCUGAGGCUCGAAAGCGUGGGGAGCAAACAGGG
rnacentral:rRNA from 1 species